rnacentral:rRNA from 1 species
UACCGCAUAACCAUAGUUACCGCAUGGUAGCUAUGUAAAAGGUGGCUAUGCUACCGCUUUUGGAUGGGCCCGCGGCGCAUUAGCUAGUUGGUGGGGUAAAGGCUUACCAAGGCAAUGAUGCGUAGCCGAACUGAGAGGUUGAUCGGCCACAUUGGGACUGAGACACGGCCCAAACUCCUACGGGAGGCAGCAGUAGGGAAUCUUCCACAAUGGGCGAAAGCCUGAUGGAGCAACGCCGCGUGGGUGAAGAAGGUCUUCGGAUCGUAAAACCCUGUUGUUAGAGAAGAAAGUGCGUGAGAGUAACUGUUCACGUUUCGACGGUAUCUAACCAGAAAGCCACGGCUAACUACGUGCCAGCAGCCGCGGUAAUACGUAGGUGGCAAGCGUUAUCCGGAUUUAUUGGGCGUAAAGGGAACGCAGGCGGUCUUUUAAGUCUGAUGUGAAAGCCUUCGGCUUAACCGGAGUAGUGCAUUGGAAACUGGGAGACUUGAGUGCAGAAGAGGAGAGUGGAACUCCAUGUGUAGCGGUGAAAUGCGUAGAUAUAUGGAAGAACACCAGUGGCGAAAGCGGCUCUCUGGUCUGUAACUGACGCUGAGGUUCGAAAGCGUGGGUAGCAAACAGGAUUAGAUACCCUGGUAGUCCACGCCGUAAACGA